GAUGAACGCUGGCCGCGUGCCUAAUACAUGCAAGUCGAGCGAACGGACGAGAAGCUUGCUUCUCUGAUGUUAGCGGCGGACGGGUGAGUAACACGUGGAUAACCUACCUAUAAGACUGGGAUAACUUCGGGAAACCGGAUCUAAUACCGGAUAAUAUUUUCAACCGCAUGGUUCAAAAGUGAAAGACGGUCUUGCUGUCACUUAUAGAUGGAUCCGCGCUGCAUUAGCUACUUGGUAAGGUAACGGCUGACCAAGGCACCGAUGCAUAGCCGACCUGAGAGCGUACAGGGUCAGACAAGGUCUGAGACACGGUCGAGACUCGCUGAGGAGGCAGACGUAGGGAAUCUACCGCCAUGCGCGCAAGCCUGACGCAGCAACGCCGCGUGAGUGAUGAGGGUCUUCGCAGCGUAGAACGCUGUUCUUCGCGCAGGACACAUGUGUAAGUCACUGGGAACAUUUUGACGGCAGCUAAACAGAAAGCCACGCUUACCCACGUG
rnacentral:rRNA from 1 species